rnacentral:rRNA from 1 species
UGGGGAAUAUUGGGCAAUGGGCGCAAGCCUGACCCAGCCAUGCCGCGUGAGUGAUGAAGGCCUUCGGGUCGUAAAGCUCUGUGGGGAGGGACGAAUAAGCACGGCGCUAAUACCGCCGGGCCUUGACGGUACCUCCUUAGCAAGCACCGGCUAACUCCGUGCCAGCAGCCGCGGUAAUACGGAGGGUGCAAACGUUGCUCGGAAUCAUUGGGCGUAAAGCGCACGUAGGCGGCCCGUUAAGUCGGAUGUGAAAGCCCAGGGCUCAACCCUGGAAGUGCAUUCGAAACUGGCAGGCUUGAAUAUGGAAGAGGGUCGCGGAAUUCCCGGUGUAGAGGUGAAAUUCGUAGAUAUCGGGAGGAACACCAGUGGCGAAGGCGGCGACCUGGGCCAAUAUUGACGCUGAGGUGCGAAAGCGUGGGGAGCAAACAGGAUUAGAUACCCCUGUAGUCC